rnacentral:rRNA from 1 species
AGGGUUUGAUUCUGGCUCAGGAUGAACGCUAGCUACAGGCUUAACACAUGCAAGUCGAGGGGCAGCAUGUCGGUUGCUUGCAACCAAUGAUGGCGACCGGCGCACGGGUGAGUAACGCGUAUCCAACCUACCGAUGACUCGGGGAUAGCCUUUCGAAAGAAAGAUUAAUACCCGAUGGUAUAUCUGAAAGGCAUCUUUCAGCUAUUAAAGAAUUUCGGUCAUUGAUGGGGAUGCGUUCCAUUAGGUUGUUGGCGGGGUAACGGCCCACCAAGCCAUCGAUGGAUAGGGGUUCUGAGAGGAAGGUCCCCCACAUUGGAACUGAGACACGGUCCAA